rnacentral:rRNA from 1 species
UACAGAGGUCUCAAGCGUUGUUCGGAUUCAUUGGGCGUAAAGGGUGCGUAGGUGGCGCCGUAAGUCGGGUGUGAAAUUUCGGAGCUUAACUCCGAAACUGCAUUCGAUACUGCGGUGCUUGAGGACUGGAGAGGAGACUGGAAUUCAUGGUGUAGCAGUGAAAUGCGUAGAUAUCAGAAGGAACAUCAGUGGCGAAGGCGGCUUCCUGGACCAAUACUGACGAUCAGGUGCGAAAGCGUGGGGAGCAAACAGG